CCUACGGGUGGCAGCAGUGGGGAAUAUUGCGCAAUGGGCGAAAGCCUGACGCAGCGACGCCGCGUGAGGGAUGAAGGUCUUCGGAUCGUAAACCUCUGUCAGCAGGGAAGAACGGUCACUGUGCUAAUCAGCAGUGAAUUGACGGUACCUGCAAAGGAAGCACCGGCUAACUCCGUGCCAGCAGCCGCGGUAAUACGGAGGGUGCGAGCGUUAAUCGGAAUUACUGGGCGUAAAGCGGUCGUAGGCGGUAUGUCAAGUCAAGGGUGAAAUCCACGAGCUAAACGUGGGAACUGCCAUUGAAAAUGGCGAAACAGGAUGUGUGAGAGGAUAGUGGAAUUACAGGUGUAGGGGU
rnacentral:rRNA from 1 species